rnacentral:rRNA from 1 species
GCGCAAUACGGGGGCGCGGCAGCGGUAAUAAGGAGUGCGGGAGCGGUGUGCGGAUGUAGUGGGCGUAAAGAGCAUGUAGGCUGCCAGGUAGGUCUGCUGUGAAAACUCGAGGCUUAACCUGGAGAUGUCGGCGGAAACCAUCUGGCUAGAGGCCGGAAGAGGAGAGUGGAAUUCCUGGUGUAGCGGUGAAAUGCGCAGAUAUCAGGAAGAACACCCGUGGCGAAGGCGGCUCUCUGGGACGGUACUGACGCUGAGACGCGAAAGCGUGGGGAGCGAACAGGAUUAGAUACCCUGGUAGUC